rnacentral:rRNA from 1 species
AGAGUUUGAUCAUGGCUCAGGGUGAACGCUGGCGGUAUGCCUAAGACAUGCAAGUCGCACGGACUGUUUCGGCAGUUAGUGGCGGACGGGUGAGUAACACGUAGGUGACCUACCCCAAAGUCUGGGACAACUAGGAGAAAUCUUAGCUAAUCCUGGAUGUGAACCUCAGCUGUGGCUGAUGUUUAAAGCUUCGGCGCUUUGGGAUGGGCCUGCGGCGCAUCAGGUAGUUGGUGGGGUAACGGCCCACCAAGCCGACGACGCGUAGCUGGUCUGAGAGGACGACCAGCCACAGGGGUACUGAGACACGGACCCCACUCCUACGGGAGGCAGCAGUUAGGAAUCUUCCGCAAUGGGCGAAAGCCUGACGGAGCGAUACCGCUUGAAGGACGAAGCCCUUCGGGGUGUAAACUUCUGAACUCGGGACGAUAAUGACGGUACCGAGGUAAUAGCACCGGCUAACUCCGUGCCAGCAGCCGCGGUAAUACGGAGGGUGCGAGCGUUACCCGGAUUUACUGGGUGUAAAGGGCGUGUAGGCGGUCUCUCAAGUC